rnacentral:rRNA from 1 species
GAUGAACGCUGGCGGCGUGCCUAAUACAUGCAAGUCGAGCGAACGGACGAGAAGCUUGCUUCUCUGAUGUUAGCGGCGGACGGGUGAGUAACACGUGGAUAACCUACCUAUAAGACUGGGAUAACUUCGGGAAACCGGAGCUAAUACCGGAUAAUAUUUUGAACCGCAUGGUUCAAAAGUGAAAGACGGUCUUGCUGUCACUUAUAGAUGGAUCCGCGCUGCAUUAGCUAGUUGGUAAGGUAACGGCUUACCAAGGCAACGAUGCAUAGCCGACCUGAGAGGGUGAUCGGCCACACUGGAACUGAGACACGGUCCAGACUCCUACGGGAGGCAGCAGUGGGGAAUAUUGGACAAUGGGCGCAAGCCUGAUCCAGCCAUACCGCGUGGGUGAAGAAGGCCUUCGGGUUGUAAAGCCCUUUUGUUGGGAAAGAAAAGCAGCAGGUUAAUACCCCGCUGUUCUGACGGUACCCAAAGAAUAAGCACCGGCUAACUUCGUG